rnacentral:rRNA from 1 species
GUGGGGAAUAUUGCGCAAUGGGGGAAACCCUGACGCAGCAACGCCGCGUGAGUGAUGAAGGCCUUCGGGUCGUAAAGCUCUGUCAGGUGGGAAGAAGAAGCAGAUCCCAAAUAAGGAUCUACCUUGACUGUACCACCAGAGGAAGCACCGGCUAACUCCGUGCCAGCAGCCGCGGUAAUACGGAGGGUGCAAGCGUUGUUCGGAAUUAUUGGGCGUAAAGCGCAUGUAGGCGGCCAAGCAAGUCAGGCGUGAAAUCCCUUGGCUCAACCAAGGACCGUCGUCUGAAACUGCUCGGCUUGAGUACGGGAGAGGAGAGUGGAAUUCCCGGUGUAGAGGUGAAAUUCGUAGAUAUCGGGAGGAACACCCGUGGCGAAGGCGACUCUCUGGACCGAUACUGACGCUGAGAUGCGAAAGCGUGGGGAGCAAACAGGAUUAGAUACCCCAGUAGUCC